AGCGAACGCUGGCGGCAGGCCUAACACAUGCAAGUCGAACGGAUCCUCCGGGAUUAGUGGCGGACGGGUGAGUAACACGUGGGAACGUGCCCUUUGGUUCGGAACAACUCAGGGAAACUUGAGCUAAUACCGGAUGUGCCCUUCGGGGGAAAGAUUUAUCGCCAUUGGAGCGGCCCGCGUCUGAUUAGCUAGUUGGUGAGGUAACGGCCCACCAAGGCGACGAUCAGUAGCUGGUCUGAGAGGAUGAUCAGCCACACUGGGACUGAGACACGGCCCAGACUCCUACGGGAGGCAGCAGUGGGGAAUCUUGCGCAAUGGGCGAAAGCCUGACGCAGCCAUGCCGCGUGAAUGAUGAAGGUCUUAGGAUUGUAAAAUUCUUUCAGCGGGGACGAUAAUGACGGUACCCGCAGAAGAAGCUCCGGCUAACUUCGUG
rnacentral:rRNA from 1 species